GUGCCAGCCGCCGCGGUAAUACCGGCAGCCCGAGUGAUGGCCGAUCUUAUUGGGCCUAAAGCGUCCGUAGCUGGCUGCGCAAGUCCAUCGGGAAAUCCACCUGCUCAACGGGUGGGCGCCCGGUGGAAACUGUGCGGCUUGGGACCGGAAGGCGCGACGGGUACGUCCGGGGUAGGAGUGAAAUCCCGUAAUCCUGGACGGACCGCCGAUGGCGAAAGCACGUCGCGAGAACGGAUCCGACAGUGAGGGACGAAAGCCAGGGUCUCGAACCGGAUUAGAAACCCUAGUAGUCC
rnacentral:rRNA from 1 species